rnacentral:rRNA from 1 species
CAAUGGGCGCAAGCCUGAUCCAGCAAUGCCGCGUGCAGGAUGAAGGCCUUCGGGUUGUAAACUGCUUUUGUACGGAACGAAAAGCCCUGGGUUAAUACCCUGGGGUCAUGACGGUACCGUAAGAAUAAGCACCGGCUAACUACGUGCCAGCAGCCGCGGUAAUACGUAGGGUGCGAGCGUUAAUCGGAAUUACUGGGCGUAAAGCGUGCGCAGGCGGUUUUGUAAGACAGAGGUGAAAUCCCCGGGCUCAACCUGGGAACUGCCUUUGUGACUGCAAGGCUAGAGUACGGCAGAGGGGGAUGGAAUUCCGCGUGUAGCAGUGAAAUGCGUAGAUAUGCGGAGGAACACCGAUGGCGAAGGCAAUCCCCUGGGCCUGUACUGACGCUCAUGCACGAAAGCGUGGGGAGCAAACAGGAUUAGAUACCCUGGUAGUCCACGCCCUAAACGAUGUCAACUGGUUGUUGGGUCUUAACUGACUCAGUAACGAAGCUAACGCGUGAAGUUGACCGCCU